GAACCUAGAUCUUUUGACCCCAAAUCCAGUGCUCUUUCUGCUAUAGAACUUGUCCCAAUUUUCUUUCCUUUCUUUAUAGCAAUUUGGGCAUUACAUUUAGAGGAGAGCUAAUUGCUCAUAUUCAGGUGACUCUCUUGAAAAGGAGCAAAGUUUUAGAGAGUACUUUUUAGAAUUCUCAUUAAAUGGUAAUAAAUAUGGUACAGAACCCUUUAUAAUUGUAAUCAUAAGUAGUUUCUGUUAGAUUUGCUUCUGACAACUUUGGAUUACAGGUGGUUUCAAGAUUGUGUUAAAUUCAAAAAGGCAUGCUCACAUAAGUGACAUGUAUUAAAUCUAAAAAUGCAUUUGGGGUGGCUGAGCCAAUUUGACUAGAAUUAGUGACAGUAACCAGGUGCCACCUUGAAUUAGGAGUUUUUUGCAUGGUAUUGAUUUCUUUAGACCUGGCUUUAGUUUUACUUGUCCACCUCACAGAAAAUUCCUUAAUUUUUGAAGUUAGUGUAGGAUUUCCUGAGGUCAGUGCCAUCUGGAUUAAAUGUGGAGGGAGUUUUCAUGAGCCACAGAUUGAGUGUAAAAAGAUAAUGUUAAUAAUCUGCAAAAUAAUAAGAAUACAUUUGUCUGUCACAUCCAUCAGGGAAAUCCAGAGCUUGAGUUGUUGGUAGAUUCUGGAUUUGUUGUAAGGAAAAGAACCAUUCCCUUUUAUGCCUCAGAGGAAACAACUGUAGAUCUAUUACUUGAUGUCAAAUUAGGAUGUGUGUAAUGUAAAGCUAGUAAUUUUUUAAUACUUAUGUAGUAUGAAGUGAUUCAUUCUGUGAAUGGUUGACUACACUUCUGAAAAAGAAAUAAUAAAAAUUUUAUUUCUAACUUGUGGCAAGUUGGUUCUUGGUUGUGUCUUUGUUAGAACAGUAUGGUUAAUUCUUUAUGACUUUAGCUGUGUCUUUGGGGUCAUGGUGUGGUGUCUGUAAUAUAAUUAUAUAGUUGUUAAGAUGGCCAGGGUUCUUAUUCUCUAAUCUUGGGAAAAUUGCUCUUUUUUUAGUUCAUCUACUGUAUAACUAGUAACUGAGCCCCUUCUGUCUAGCAGGGGUGUGAUUAGACUAGUUGAUUGUUAACAUAGUAUUUUAUUUAAUAAGUGCAAGGUCACUUAGUAAUCUUUAGACAAGUCCAGUGGAUAUGGUUUAUGUAAGUUGAUCUAGAACUGGAGCGUAUCUAAUCAAAUCCUUUUAUUUUAUAGAUGAAACAGGUGCAGAGAGAUUAAGUGAUGUGCACAAGGUUAUACAGGUAGUAUCAGAGAUGAUAUUUGAACCCAAGUUCUUUGUCUCUAGAUCUAGUGCUCUUUUCACAGUACUACACUUCCUCCUUUAUACAAAUAAGAGAAUGGAAGAGGGGUGAUAAGGUUUUUGAUGCUUACUGAUAUUGUAGUUUACACAGAAAGAAAUCUACUAGAUAGAUGCAACUGGUGAUGGAAUGAGCUUGUUUCUUUAAAGUGGUAGUGAUUUGAUUCAGUUUUUAUUCAAGUUCUUACCUGCUGUCUAAUUUUCCUCCAGGUCUGACCUUAUUUCAGGAUGUUAGCCCAUUUUCCUUUUCUUCUUUAAUUAGUGCCCUAUAUAACCUUAAAUUGAAUAUAGUGAGUGUGAAUUAUAAAUAGGACAGAAAUCCUUGAUAUCCCUUAUCUAUAAGAAGUUACUUGCCUUCCAGACAAUUUGAAAUAUGGGUCCUGGGGGCCUUCCCCUAGGAAGAGUAUUUUCCAGAGUUGGGCUAGAUAAAGCUACCCGUGGGUGGCAGUAGGAAAAGUGGUAGAACUAAAAGCAGCCCGGUGUGAUGCAUGUGGAGAGUAUGUGAACAGUAAUGGAAUAACAGCCGUCACUUUAUAAGCUUCCUAAAUGAACCUACCGGAAAGAAGGGGCCACUGUGUAUAUAACUUGUCAUACUUUUCGGACUACUUUGUUAACUUAAAAUAUUUCCCCUUCCAUUAAACCCCAUGAUGACAUGGAAGUGACCUUGGGUUCUUAAAUGCAUCCUUCCUCUUGCAAAUUCAAACUGAAUUACAAAGGCUAUUGUUGGAGACUGUUAUGUCUGUUAUCUAAGGACCAGCUUAGCUGAAUUUGGAUAAGCUCAUCACCAGGCUGGCUGCAAGGUGACAAAAUGUUUUUGCCACCACAGCUCUUUAAAACAGUGUGUUGGUAGAGGAAACACACAGGUGAUAGCACAGUUCCUUUGUGUAUUGAGGUAUACAAGGUCUCCAUUGUGAUAUAAUAAACUGAUGUUCUUGUUUA